rnacentral:lncRNA from 1 species
GUGAACCAAUUUGGAUCCAAUCUAGAUAAGUCCUAAUCUAAUUAGAACUUAAAUCAAUUUUGACUCAAUUGAACUCUUCAAUCCUAAUCCAAUUAGGAGUCUUAUUGAUUCAUUAGAUUAAUAAUUAAUUGUGACUUAAGAAACCCUAAUCCAAAUUAGGACAUAUAUAAUUUUAGUCCUAAUUCAAUUAGGACUCUAUUUGAAUCCGAAGUCCUAAUCCGAUUAGGACUCUAGGAAUCCUACUCCAAGU